rnacentral:tRNA from 1 species
GCUGGUCGUCGGCGUGCUGUCUAGGGACUCAUAAUCCGUUGGUCGCGGGUUCGAGUCCCGCCCGCACCA